CCUACGGGAGGCAGCAGUGGGGAAUUUUGCGCAAUGCGCGAAAGCCUGACGCAGCGACGCCGCGUGAGGGAUGAAGGCCUUCGGAUCGUAAACUUCUGUCAGCAGGGAAGAACGUGCACAGUGCUAAUCAGCAGUGAAUUGACGGUACCUGCAUAGGAAGCACCGGCUAACUCCGUGCCAGCAGCCGCGGUAAUACGGAGGGUGCGAGCGUUAUUCGGAAUUACUGGGCGUAAAGAGCACGUAGGCGGUAUGUCAAGUCAAUGGUGAAAGCCUCGAGCUCAACGUUGGAACGGCCAUUGAUACUGGCAAACUGGAGUGUGUGAGAGGAUAGUAGAAUUCCAGGUGUAGGAGUGAAAUCCGUAGAUAUCUGGAGGAACAUCAGUGGCGAAGGCGACUAUCUGGCACAUAACUGACGCUGAGGAGCGAAAGCGUGGGUAGCAAACAGGAUUAGAUACCCGUGUAGUC
rnacentral:rRNA from 1 species